rnacentral:rRNA from 1 species
UACGUAGGGGGCUAGCGUUGUCCGGAUUUAUUGGGCGUAAAGAGCGUGUAGGCGGCCAGGUAGGUCUGCUGUGAAAACUCGAGGCUCAACCUCGAGACGUCGGCGGAAACCAUCUGGCUAGAGUCCGGAAGAGGAGAGUGGAAUUCCUGGUGUAGCGGUGAAAUGCGCAGAUAUCGGGAGGAACACCUGUGGCGAAAGCGGCGCGCUGGACCAGAACUGACGCUGAGGCGCGAAAGCUAGGGGAGCAAACAGG